rnacentral:rRNA from 1 species
AGUGAACGCUGGCGGUAGGCCUAACACAUGCCAGUCGAACGGCAGCACAGUAAGAGCUUGCUCUUACGGGUGGCGAGUGGCGGACGGGUGAGGAAUAAAUCGGAAUCUACUUUUUCGUGGGGGAUAACGUAGGGAAACUAACGCUAAUACCGCAUACGACCUACGGGUGAAAGCAGGGGAUCUUCGGACCUUGCGCGAUUGACUGAGCCGAUGUCGGAUUAGCUAGUUGGCGGGGUAAAGGCCCACCAAGGCGACGAUCCGUAGCUGGCCUGAGAGGAUGAUCAGCCACACUGGAACUGAGACACGGUCCAGACUCCUACGGGAGGCAGCAGUGGGGAAUAUUGGACAAUGGGCGCAAGCCUGAUCCAGCCAUACCGCGUGGGUGAAGAAGGCCUUCGGGUUGUAAAGCCCUUUUGUUGGGAAAGAAAAGCAGCAGGUUAAUACCCCGCUGUUCUGACGGUACCCAAAGAAUAAGCACCGGCUAACUUCGUG